rnacentral:snRNA from 1 species
GUAGCCAAGGACAACUUGCC